rnacentral:rRNA from 1 species
AUUGAACGCUGGCGGCAGGCUUAACACAUGCAAGUCGAGCGGAGCGAGGGUGCUUGCACCUUAGCUUAGCGGCGGACGGGUGAGUAAUGCUUAGGAAUCUGCCUAUUAGUGGGGGACAACAUUCCGAAAGGAAUGCUAAUACCGCAUACGCCCUACGGGGGAAAGCAGGGGAUCUUCGGACCUUGCGCUAAUAGAUGAGCCUAAGUCGGAUUAGCUAGUUGUUGGGGUAAAGGCCUACCAAGGCGACGAUCUGUAGCGGGUCUGAGAGGAUGAUCCGCCACACUGGGACUGAGACACGGCCCAGACUCCUACGGGAGGCAGCAGUGGGGAAUAUUGGACAAUGGGCGGAAGCCUGAUCCAGCCAUGCCGCGUGUGUGAAGAAGGCCUCUUGGUUGUAAAGCACUUUAAGCGAGGAGGAGGCUACUUAGAUUAAUACUCUGGGAUAGUGGACGUUACUCGCAGAAUAAGCACCGGCUAACUCUGUGCCAGCAGCCGCCGUAAGAC